UCCUUGAUUCAUCAGUCUUAUAUAAUACCCAGUGCUCAUUACAUCACAUGCCCUCCUUAAUGUUCAUCACCCAGUUACCCCAUCCCUCCACUCCCCUCCCCUCCUAUCCCUCAUUUUUAGAGUCAUUGUUUAAUUUACUAGAAUUUAUCUAUCCUCAAACAAUUCUUUCAGGAAGAAUGUGUGGCUAUGCCCUUACCUUGCUUAUCUAUGAGGGCUCUUCAGUUUUUCCUGGAAUCACUUACCUGAAGCAAAGUCUGGCUUAUCUGCUCCAGUUUACAUGCUCGGUAUUCUACUGAGAGGUGACCACAACUGCCCUUUGUCCACGUGGGAAGAAGGAGAGUGAGUGUACCUGCUCUGUAUCCUGCUACCAUGGAUAAUUCUGCCAACUAUCCCAAUGACUUUCUUGCUUCUUGCAUUUACUUAUUUGAGCUUGGAGUUGCUGUGAAAUGCCCGUGUCUUCAAACCAAAACUCUUCUGCAUGUCUUUUGGGCUACAAUUUUCUUCAGUAGUAUUUUCUGGUGAGGGAAGAAGCCAGCUCAGCACCUCUACCCAUUACUUAGGUGUUUCUGAGUGUCCCAGGAGAAGAGUUUGUGUAGCUAGGACCUGCCUCGCUGUGCUCACAGCGGCAGAGUGGCCUGACUAUUGAGUCAGAUAUGGCUCUGGCGAGCUGUGUCCAAAGCAGAGAACCUAAGAAGUCUCUUGUUUUCACAGAAGCCGUAUGUGCAAGGGUGGUAUAGUAGACAGAGUGAUGACCUUCUCAGGGUGUCCUUGUACUCAAGCCCAGAGCUUGCAGAAGUGUUCACUUACAUGGCAAAAGGGACUUUGCAGCUGUGAUUAAGGAUCACAUGAAGUUGGGAAGAAUAUCCUGUACAGUAGUGACAAGGGGGGCCCAAUGUAAUCAUGAGAGAGGGGAAAGGGUUACAGUCACAAAAGCAAAUGUGGUCACAGAAGCUAAGUUUGUAGAGAUGAACUUUGAAGAUGGAGGAAGUGACAUGAGCCAAGCAGGCAGCUGCUGUAGGCAGCUUCAAAAAAGCAAAGAAAUGAAUUCUCCAUGAGCGCCUCCGGAAGGGACACAAUUCUGUCAACACCUUGAGUUGAGCCCGUAAAACCCGUUUCGGACUUCUGACCUCCAGAACUGUAAGAAAAAUCUGCUUCAAGGUGAUUUUUCUGUCCCGGGCUGACUGUGAAGCAAGUGGCAAUUACAAAGAGAAAAGUUAAACAAAUAGAACAGAAGAAAAGAAACAUGGAGAGAAGAUUGAGGAAAUGGGGAAAAGACAAAACAAAACAAACUAGUGUUAAGAUUCUAGGGGUGGUGUAGUCCCUCAAGUCUUUCAAAGAACAAAACAUCCAAUCUAUUCUGCUAUCACAUGUGUUUUGGUGACACAAAUGAGCUCACAGACAAUUGGUAAGCAGGGAAAUAUCAGUGUAAUAAUGUUGAAGUCACUUUGGUUUGUAAACAAUUUUUCCCAGCAUGUGAUUUCCAAGAAAUCAGGAGCAAACUUCCUCCACAAUUAAAGAGCAUGCAUUAGCAACAACGUAGGAAUGCCUUAAGAAAGAAAUCCUACAGAGGUACUUUCCUUUAGAGAAAGCAAGGGCUAGAUUACUGGUUUCAACAACUGCUGCAUAUUUCCCUACAUUAAGCUAUUUGCUGAAGCUGUGAAGACAGAUAAGGAAGUUGCAACGAUAUUUCC